CUACGGAAAGAAAAGCGAUCAUGAAGGCGAUAUUUACCACCCUGCCAAAAUUCAAUUUCCAAAGGAACAAUACGAAUUCCACCCCAAAAAUCAGGAACAGGCACAGGAACAGAUUCGUCCUCGCCAAAUUUCUUUUUAUAUUCUUCAACUCUUUUUUCAAGCUCUUCACGGUCAGCGAUGACCUCACUUUGGGGAGAAGCCCAUGCACCAAUGCGUGAGUUACGAGGUCUAGUUUUGAAAUAUUCUUCGGUUUCUUCACGACUUAGGCGUUCAAUGAUACCUUCAACCCGAACUUGUCUUUGCAAGGGUUCCCACCAGAAAGAUAAACUAGCAUAGGGAUUGCUUUUCAGGUCCUUUGCUUUCUUAGAUGUACCCAGGUUAGUAAAAAUGAUGAAGCCGCGAUGAUCCAAUUCUUUCAAUAAGACUAACCUAGAAGAUACUCUUCCACUAGGUAGUCGAGCUGUGGAUAAUGUAGUAGAUUCUGGAGACUUAAUGCCUUCAUCAUCGGUAGCUUCUUGAAACCACUGAUUAAACAAAACUAACGGGUCUUUUCCCAUAAGUGCAUCUCUGUGCAAACUUGAUUUUUCAUAUUGAUAGCGAGAAGGUGCAAAAAUUAGCUUUUCGUGGGUGGAAUCAGUAUUUUCAGACAUCGUGGUAAACGGGAUUGGAAAAGAUACUUUUCCUCGUUUCAGGCAGUAACUGAAUUUAUAUGAGAUAUCUGUUUUGAUAUAUAUAUAACGCGAUGAAACGACUCAGUAUCACGCACUAAAGAAAAUGCUAGCAAAAGACGUGUCAUACGGUACAGCAUGCUAGAGCUGGUUAAUUUUAACACAAAUCGAUCAAAUUCUAUGUCUUUUUAAAUUGCCAUGAACGAUACCAAGAGUUACUGUCAUGAUACCAAAGUUUCAAGCAUUCUUAAGCUUAUCCCUGAAAUUGUAACUGAUGUCAAUUGGGCACUUAUUAAAACAGUGCUUCUACAGUAGCGGGAAUGUUUAAAAGUAUUAUGUAAACUGAAGUUUUUUAACAACUAUAUGCCAUGGUAACAACAUUGUUCUCAACUUAGAUCAUCUAGUAAUGUGUGGAACCAAAUUUUAUUACUUAGCGGUAGUCAUAACCAUUUCAGCAAUGUUUGUACAGGAAUGGUCCAGUGGUUAAAAGUAAAAUUGAAUACGCGAUAAGUAAAUUCUAGACAUUUUA